rnacentral:sRNA from 1 species
GCCAGGUGCAGUGGCACACACCUGUAAUCCCAGCAGCUUGGGAGGCUGAGGCAGGAGGAUCACGAGUUCAAAGGCAGCCUCAGAAAUUUAGGGAGGCUCUGAGCAACUCAGUGAGAACCUGUCUCUA